rnacentral:rRNA from 1 species
AAAACGACUCUCGGCAACGGAUAUCUCGGCUCUCGCAUCGAUGAAGAACGCAGCGAAAUGCGAUACUUGGUGUGAAUUGCAGGAUCCCGCGAACCAUCGAGUCUUUGAACGCAAGUUGCGCCCGAAGCCUUUUGGCCGAGGGCACGUCUCCCUGGGUGUCACUC